GAAUUUAAGCAUAUAAUUAAGCGGAGGAAAAGAAACUAACCAGGAUUCCCUCAGUAAGGGCGACUGAAGCGGGAAGAGCUCAAACCGAAGAAUUGUGGUGUGUUUGCGCUAUCGGGCCGGCCAAAGUCCCUUGGAACAGGGCAGCGUAGAGGGUGAGACUCCCGUUUGGCUGGUCCUUGGAGCAUGCAUGUUUGAGUCGAGUUGUUUGGGAUUGCAGCUCAAAGUGGGUGGUAAAUUCCAUCGAAAGCUAAAUAUUGGUGGGAGACCGAUAGCGUACAAGUACCGUGAGGGAAAGAUGCAAAGAACUUUGAAAAGAGAGUUAAAGAGUACCUGAAAUUGCUGAAAUGGAAGCGAAGGAAACCAGUGUCGUGCGUGUUAUAUUUCCUUGUCCAUUUAUGGGCUUGGCGCUGUGGCUGCACUGGUCAAGGUUGGUUUGUUGGGGUUCAAAUCGGACCCCGUCGGACCGAGUCUUGACGAAAUGGUUUUCUUUCCCCCGUCUUGAAACACGGACCAAGGAGUCUAACAUAUGUGCGAGUACAGGGGUGUCAAACCCCGGUGCGCAAUGAAAGUGACAGUGGUUGUAUUCUGUAAUAAGUUGCACAAUCCGCCGGCCUCAAUCCCUCGGGAGAACGGUCUGAGUGUGAGCAUACAUGUUGGGACCCGAAAGAUGGUGAACUAUGCCUGAAUAGGGUAAAGCCAGGGGAAACUCUGGUGGAGGCUCGUAGCGAUUCUGACGUGCAAAUCGAUCGUCAAAUUUGGG
rnacentral:rRNA from 1 species